AAAAAGGCAAUGAAGAGGAAGAGUACAUUUUUGUAUCUUUAAAGAGAGUCUCUGUUUGGUGGAAAGAGAUAAGUAAGAAGAUGGAAGGUAGCCUUGGAGCUAAUAAGAUGAAAUUAAGUAGUUUUAUUCGUAGAACGGCGUUAACGUAUGAAGGCAUAUUUAUUAUGUGAAUUAAGGUGGUACCACGAGCAAUCGUCCUUUGG
rnacentral:ncRNA from 1 species